AUUGAACGCUAGCGGGAUGCCUUACACAUGCAAGUCGAACGGAGUGGCGAACGGGUGAGUAAUGUAUCGGAACGUGCCCAGUAGCGGGGGAUUACUACGCGAAAGCGUAGCUAAUACCGCACACUAUUGGAGCGGCCGAUCUCGGAUUAUCUGGUUGGUGGGGUAACGGCUCCUCAGGGCGACGAUCUGUAGCUGGUUCGAGAGGACGACCAGACACACUGGAACUGAGACACGGCCCGGACUCCUACGGGAGGCAGCAGUGGGGAAGUUUGAACAAUGGGGGAAAACCUGAUCCAGCAAUCCCGCGUGUGCGAUGAAGGCCUUCGGGUUGUAAAGCACUUUUAGCAGGAAAGCGGUACCUUCAGAAUAAGCACCGGAUAACUACGUGCCAGCAGCCGCGGUAAUAC
rnacentral:rRNA from 1 species